GCUAACUCCUGGCGCGCAGCCGCGGAAAAACGGAGGUGGCAAGCGUUAAGCGGAAUUACUAGUCGGAAAGCGGACGCAUGCGGUCUGUCAAGUCGGAUGUGAAAUCCCCGGGCUCAACCUGGGAACUGCAUUCGAAACUGGCAGGCUAGAGUCUUGUAGAGGGGGGUAGAAUUCCAGGUGUAGCGGUGAAAUGCGUAGAGAUCUGGAGGAAUACCGGUGGCGAAGGCGGCCCCCUGGACAAAGACUGACGCUCAGGUGCGAAAGCGUGGGGAGCAAACAGGAUUAGAUACCCGGGUAGUC
rnacentral:rRNA from 1 species